rnacentral:tRNA from 1 species
GCAGUCGUGGCAGAGUGCCUAAGGCGAUGGACUAGAAAUUCAUUGGGGUCUCCCAGCACAGGUUCGAAUCCUGUCAACUGCA